GUGACCAGGCCUGGAUCGCCCUCGGCCUGGGGGUGAGACCCACCUCCCAGCCUUUAGUGCCCUGAGCCAGCCUUCUGCCUUCUGAGAAACCCCAUUCUCUCCUCUCUCUUUCUCCUCAGCAGCGGCAAGAAAAGAUGUGGGGAGGCAAGAAUUGGCGCGAUCUAAGGAUGCAGUUUUUAAGUCAGAGUCGCCCAGCAAUCAAGUAACUUCCGUCUGCACAGCGUUUUGGAGAGCUUUCAACUGGGUGAAAUCCUCGCACAAACCUCAGAGAGGUUCAGAGAGGUUUUGGUUGUUGCCUACCCUGCAGCCUGCAUACUUUCAACGUAUGCAGGCUUUUCAAGCUCUGAAGACUCGGAGCUGCCAUUCAGAGAAAAACUUCUGCAAGGAAAGUUUAAAGCCGCCAGUUGCUGGGUCCAGUCCCCCUUGGUCAGGCCAAAGAGAGGAUGGCACAUAGAAGUCUGGAAUGAAACAGACAGAAAGAGCCAGAGUGUGAAAGUUUCUUCAAGAGAUACCUUCAGAUUGAUG